GGUGAAGCGCCUUCCUUUGUGGUGGGUGUGGAUGAGUGGCGAACGGGUGAGUAACACGUGAGUAACCUGCCCCCUUCUUCUGGAUAACCGCAUGAAAGUGUGGCUAAUACGGGAUAUUCUGUGCCUGCUGCAUGGUGGGUGUGGGAAAGAUUGCGCCUUUGGGUGUUUUUGGUGGGGGAUGGGCUCGCGGCCUAUCAGCUUGUUGGUGGGGUGAUGGCCUACCAAGGCGGUGACGGGUAGCCGGCCUGAGAGGGUGGACGGUCACACUGGGACUGAGACACGGCCCAGACUCCUACGGGAGGCAGCAGUGGGGAAUAUUGCACAAUGGGCGCAAGCCUGAUGCAGCGACGCCGCGUGAGGGAUGGAGGCCUUCGGGUUGUGAACCUCUUUCGCCAGUGAAGCAGGCCUGUCCCUGUGUGGGUGGGUUGACGGUAGCUGGAUAAGAAGCGCCGGCUAACUACGUGCCAGCAGCCGCGGUAAUACGUAGGGCGCGAGCGUUGUCCGGAAUUAUUGGGCGUAAAGAGCUCGUAGGCGGCUGGUCGCGUCUGUCGUGAAAUCCUCUGGCUUAACUGGGGGCUUGCGGUGGGUACGGGCCGGCUUGAGUGCGGUAGGGGAGGCUGGAACUCCUGGUGUAGCGGUGGAAUGCGCAGAUAUCAGGAAGAACACCGGUGGCGAAGGCGGGUCUCUGGGCCGUUACUGACGCUGAGGAGCGAAAGCGUGGGGAGCGAACAGGAUUAGAUACCCUGGUAGUCCACGCCGUAAACGUUGGGCACUAGGUGUGGGGGGCCUUUUCCGGGUUUUCCGCGCCGUAGCUAACGCAUUAAGUGCCCCGCCUGG
rnacentral:rRNA from 1 species